rnacentral:rRNA from 1 species
AAUUUAGUAAUUAUUUAUUAUGAAUUUUUUAAUUUAUUAAUAAAAAUAAUUUUAAUGAAUUGAGUUUUUUGUAUAUUUUAUAGAUAAAAUUAAUUUAAUUAUAGUUAAUUAGUAUUGUCAAAGAAUUUUGAAAUAUAAGGUUAUUUAUUAAAAAGUAAAAUUAAUUUUUUGUACCUUGUGUAUCAGGGUUUAUUAAAAAUGAAUUAUUUAAUUAAUUUUCCCGAGUUUAAGAGAGAGAAUAAAUAAUUUUAAUUAUUGUAAAAAAAAUAUUAAUAAUUAUUUAUUAGUAAUGAAAAGUUAUUCGUUCUUAAAUAUAUCUGGUUUAUUUAGAAAUGAAUUUAAUUCAGUUAUUUUUAUUUUAUUAAUUUAUUUUUUUAAGUUAUUAAAUUUAAUUAAUAAUAAUUAAGGGGAUUAGCUUUUAAUUAUAUUUCUAUAAUUAAUUUAUUGAGUUAAAGAUUUAUAGGUUUAGAAAUAUCCAUUAAUAAUAAUUUGUUAUAAUUAGUUUUUAAAUUAAUAAGAUUUGAUUAAAAAUUUAGAUAUUUAUAAAUAAAUAAUAUUGAAUUAUUUCAUAUUAGUUAUGAUGAUAAAAUUAGUAUAUUUUAAAUAUUGGAUUAAUAGUUUUUUUUAGAUUAUUUAAAGGAAUUAGGCAAAAAUUUUUAUUCGCCUGUUUAACAAAAACAUGUCCUUUAGAUUAAAUAAUUUAAGGUCUGACCUGCCCACUGAGAAAUUUAAAGGCCGCAGUAAUUUGACUGUGCAAAGGUAGCAUAAUCAUUAGUUUUUUAAUUAAAAGCUUGUAUGAAUGGUUGGACGAGAUAAAAUCUGUCUCUGAUUAAUAAAUAAAAUUUAAUUUUUAAGUUAAAAAGCUUAAAUUAAUAUAAAAGACGAGAAGACCCUAUAGAUCUUAAUAUAAUAUUUUAAGAUUUUAUUUAAGAUUAUUUUAUUAAUUUUAUUAUUUUAUAUUUUAUUGGGGUAAUAAAAAGAUUGAAUAAAUUCUUUUUCAUAUUUAACAAUAAUAAUUGAUUUUUUGAUCCAUUAAUAGUGAUUAUAAGAUUAAGUUACCUUAGGGAUAACAGCGUAAUUUUUUUAGAGAGUUCAUAUCGAUAAUAAAGUUUGCGACCUCGAUGUUGGAUUAAAAAUUAUUUUGGGUGUAGAAGUUCAAAAUUUUGGUCUGUUCGACCAUUAAAUUUUUACAUGAUCUGAGUUCAGACCGGCGUAAGCCAGGUCGGUUUCUAUCUUUAUUAAAUUUAUAUAUUUUAGUACGAAAGGACCAAAUAUUUGAUAUAUUAAUAUUUUAUUUUGAUUAAUAUU